rnacentral:rRNA from 1 species
CCUACGGGAGGCUGCAGUGGGGAAUAUUGCACAAUGGAGGAAACCCUGAUGCAGCAACGCCGCGUGAGUGAAGAAGUAAUUCGUUAUGUAAAGCUCUAUAGGCAGGGAAGAAAAUGACGGUACCUGAUUAAGAAGCCCCGGCUAACUACGUGCCAGCAGCAGCGGUAAUACGUAGGGGGCAGGCGUUGUCCGGAUUUACUGGGUGUAAAGGGGGCGUAGACGGCAGUGAAAGUCUGGAGUGAAAGGCGGGGGCUUAACCCCCGGACUGCUCUUGAAACUGUACGGCUGGAGUGCAGGAGAGGUAAGUGGAAUUCCUAGUGUAGCGGUGAAAUGCGUAGAUAUUAGGAGGAACACCAGUGGCGAAGGCGGCUUACUGGACUGUAACUGACGUUGAGGCUCGAAAGCGUGGGGAGCAAACAGGAUUAGAUACCCCGGUAGUC